rnacentral:rRNA from 1 species
GACGUAGGGCGCGAGCGUUGUCCGGAAUUAUUGGGCGUAAAGAGCUCGUAGGCGGUCUGUUGCGUCCGCUGUGAAAACCCGGGGCUUAACCCCUGGCUUGCAGUGGAUACGGACAGACUAGAGGUAGGUAGGGGAGAAUGGAAUUCCCGGUGUAGCGGUGAAAUGCGCAGAUAUCGGGAGGAACACCGGUGGCGAAGGCGGUUCUCUGGGCCUUACCUGACGCUGAGG